rnacentral:rRNA from 1 species
CACGUAGGGACCAAGCGUUGUCCGGAUUCAUUGGGCGUAAAGAGCUCGUAGGCGGUUCGAUAAGUCGGGUGUGAAACCUCCAGGCUCAACCUGGAGACGCCACCCGAUACUGUCGUGACUAGAGUCCAGUAGGGGAGCGUGGAAUUCCUGGUGUAGCGGUGAAAUGCGCAGAUAUCAGGAGGAACACCAGCGGCGAAGGCGGCGCUCUGGGCUGGAACUGACGCUGAGGCGCGAAAGCGUGGGGAGCGAACAGG